CCCUUAGAUGUUCUGGGCUGCACGCGCGCUACACUGAAGCGUUCAACGAGUAUUCACCUUGCCCGGGAGGGUUGGGUAAUCUUUUGAAAACGCUUCGUGAUGGGGAUAGAUGAUUGCAAUUAUUCAUCUUCAACGAGGAAUUCCUAGUAAACGCAAGUCAUCAGCUUGCAUUGAUUACGUCCCUGCCCUUUGUACACACCGCCCGUCGCACCUACCGAUUGAAUGGUCCGGUGAAAUCUUCGGAUCUGAGAGAUGUCUGAUUAAUUUCGGACGCCUUUUGGAAAAGUUGUUUAAACCUUACCAUUUAGAGGAAGGUGAANUCGUANCA
rnacentral:rRNA from 1 species